UGGGGAAUUUUGGACAAUGGGGGCAACCCUGAUCCAGCCAUCCCGCGUGUGCGAUGAAGGCCUUCGGGUUGUAAAGCACUUUUGGCAGGGAAGAAACAGCCUGGGAUAAUACCCCGGGCGACUGACGGUACCUGCAGAAUAAGCACCGGCUAACUACGUGCCAGCAGCCGCGGUAAUACGUAGGGUGCAAGCGUUAAUCGGAAUUACUGGGCGUAAAGCGUGCGCAGGCGGUUCGGAAGGAAAGGUGUGAAAUCCCAGGGCUUAACCUUGGAACUGCACUUUUAACUACCGAGCUAGAGUACGUCAGAGGGGGGUAGAAUUCCACGUGUAGCAGUGAAAUGCGUAGAGAUGUGGAGGAAUACCGAUGGCGAAGGCAGCCCCCUGGGAUGAUACUGACGCUCAUGCACGAAAGCGUGGGGAGCAAACAGGAUUAGAUACCCUGGUAGUCCACGCCCUAAACGAUGUCAACUAGCUGUUGGGGUUUAUUAACCUUAGUAGCGCAGCUAACGCGUGAAGUUGACCGCCUGGGGAGUACGGUCGCAAGAUUAAAA
rnacentral:rRNA from 1 species